UCCUACGGGAGGCAGCAGUGGGGAAUAUUGCACAAUGGGCGCAAGCCUGAUGCAGCGACGCCGCGUGCGGGAUGAAGGCCUUCGGGUUGUAAACCGCUUUCAGGAGGGAAGAAAAUGACGGUACCUCCAGAAGAAGGCCCGGCCAACUACGUGCCAGCAGCCGCGGU
rnacentral:rRNA from 1 species